CUGUUCUUUCUGUUCAUUUUAGGAAAUCUGUGGUCCACAUGUGUUCUAUACCUGUUGAAUCUGUGGUCCACAUGCUUAACGUGAGAUGCAGGGUUCGACCCGGUCGGACAGCAGCCAUUUUGAAACAGCCAGCCAUUUUGGAACUCCUUGGGUUUGAGGUGCGGGACACUCCUCUUUUUCGACGAGGGACAUGGUAAGAGGAAAUCAGAUGUGGGGCGUCUCGAUCUGAAUCGUCAGACUUCCCAGUAGUCACCUCUAGCAAUGUGAUUGUCCAAUUGUCUUGUGUAAACUAAGUGAAUCAACGCAUCAUUUGUGAAUAUUGAGAUAUAAAUAUCACUGUGUACUGCAACAUGUGAUAGCAAAUACUAAAAGAUCACAUGAAUGAUUCUAAUGCAAUCUUCCGACCGUUCUACUGAAUGAAAUGUGAGUAGAACUACAACUUCCAGCAUGCCUCUUUGUCCCUGAGACCCUUAACCUGUGAUGUCAUGUAAGGUCACAGGUGAGGUCCUUGGGAACAAGGCCACAUGCAUUUUGGCAGCAACCUUCAGAGAUGAAGGACAAAUAAAAGUCUCUGUCUAAUACCCAUGUGGCUGCAGCACAUCUGAUGUAGAUGAGCACCCUAGUUAGAGUAUACUGGACCUCACAAGUGUCCCACAUAAGGGGUCAUCAUUGGGGACAGGCCCUAUCGUCCGGCCUCAGGCCGUGACCAAAGAGAGGACGGUCUAAGGUCGCGACCCCUUCCUCUUGUGAGAAUUCAGAUGCAUCUUAGUCAGGCUAUAUAGCCAGUGCUAUAGACAUGCUGUGAGAGAGAGAGUUAUGAAAUCUGCAGGAAGAUUUGUGUUGGAGUACAUGUGUUCUGUGUUAAUGUUUUAUAUUUUAUGUUUCCCUCAAUUCAUCAUAGUGAAUUUAUCAAAUUUAGUGGAAUUAUAUGUGUCAAACAAAAAAUAAAAGGCUUUUUCAUUCUUCAAA